rnacentral:lncRNA from 1 species
CACAAAUCAUAGAUUCAUCCAUUAUAUUUGCUAAAAUACAAACCAGCGUUUAUAAUAUCAUUAGUGCAUGCAAUAAUAAUGCAAACAGAGAAAAAAAACACAUAACAAACUCGACAGACUUAACGAAUUAUGAUUAUAUUUAUUGGAAUCACAUAGAAACACACAUACAUACACACUACGAGAAAAGAACAAAGUUUCUUCCAAAGUACUAAGUUUAAAUAAACUGAAGCUGAAGAAGAAGAAGCAGAAGAAUAAAGAGGUGAUGGAAUCAGUCACGAGUCUCGUGGAACCUUCUGAUGAAAUCAGUGGAUUUCCGGUUAAUAGCCGGUUCGACGACGUACCAAUUAUAGAAGUUGCCUUCACUAUCUUCACCAUACAUCUCGUCGUCUGUUCCCGCCGGGUUUGAUCGCUGCCUUCUCCUCCACCAUGCUUUGAAGCUGCCGAAGAAGCUAAACAAGAAACGCCAAGAACCUCCCAUUAUAAUCCUAUAUAGAGAGGAAAAUACGUUAGAGAGAUAUAGAUGUGUCUUGCUUGUAUUUAUUUAAAGAUGCAUAUAAGCAUGUGAAGGAACGUG